GAUGAACGCUGGCGGCGUGCCUAAUACAUGCAAGUCGAGCGAACGGACGAGAAGCUUGCUUCUCUGAUGUUAGCGGCGGACGGGUGAGUAACACGUGGAUAACCUACCUAUAAGACUGGGAUAACUUCGGGAAACCGGAGCUAAUACCGGAUAAUAUUUUGAACCGCAUGGUUCAAAAGUGAAAGACGGUCUUGCUGUCACUUAUAGAUGGAUCCGCGCUGCAUUAGCUAGUUGGUAAGGUAACGGCUUACCAAGGCAACGAUGCAUAGCCGACCUGAGAGGGUGAUCGGCCACACUGGAACUGAGACACGGUCCAGACUCCUACGGGAGGCAGCAGUAGGGAAUCUUCCGCAAUGGGCGAAAGACUGACGGAGCAACGCCGCGUGAGUGAUGAAGGUCUUCGGAUCGUAAAACUCUGUUAUUAGGGAAGAACAAAUGUGUAAGUAACUGUGCACAUCUUGACGGUACCUAAUCAGAAAGCCACGGCUAACUACGUG
rnacentral:rRNA from 1 species